AUUGAACGCUGGCGGCAUGCUUUACACAUGCAAGUCGAACGGCAGCGCGGGGGCAACCCUGGCGGCGAGUGGCGAACGGGUGAGUAAUACAUCGGAACGUACCCAGAAGUGGGGGAUAACGUAGCGAAAGUUACGCUAAUACCGCAUACGUUCUACGGAAGAAAGUGGGGAUCGCAAGACCUCAUGCUUUUGGAGCGGCCGAUGUCUGAUUAGCUAGUUGGUGAGGUAAAGGCUCACCAAGGCGACGAUCAGUAGCUGGUCUGAGAGGACGACCAGCCACACUGGAACUGAGACACGGUCCAGACUCCUACGGGAGGCAGCAGUGGGGAAUUUUGGACAAUGGGGGGCAACCCUGAUCCAGCAAUGCCGCGUGAGUGAAGAAGGCCUCGGUUGUAAG
rnacentral:rRNA from 1 species